AUGCUGAGAAAACGGUGCUGUCACAUCCUUUGAUACUGAACACCUCACAUCAGGUAACAGCUAUUUUACACAACCUCAACACACAACAUAUGACAGCACAACAUAGAUCUGGUUAUGAAACCACACUCUUAGCAACAGAAAACGUAACUAUUGAGCCUCUUCUCAGCCACAUUCAGCUGUAGUAGUGCUGCGUGAUCUGCUAGACGAUAUUGAUUUAGAGGGUAUUGACGACGCACAUGAUUGUCUUAAACACAUUGAACAAGAGACCUCUUAUAGGCCUGAUCUUUUAGAUACGGCCCUGGAUACUGCCUCUAUGUAGAUGGAUCGUGUGUCUUCUGAUGAUGUGUAUUUAUGUGGAUAUGCAGUUGUAAGAUUAUCUGAUGAAAUAGUUGAAGCUAAAUCAUUACCACACACAUCUGCACAAGCUAAAACAACCAAGCUAGUGUUGGAAAAUAGACAUCAAAUAGAUGUUCUUGGAAAUCUUCUGUGAGAAUGUAUUUUAUAUGUGCUUGCUUGUGUCCUGAGAAUGAACUAAUUGUACCAAGAUUUAUGUUGCUAAAAUGUUACUCCACAGCUUGAUUAGGCAGGAGUAGUUGAAGGUCACCGAACAUGUUUCUGUUUUUCUACGUGUAUAUUCUGUUCCUCCUUACACAUACCUAUGUCUUAGUUGGCUUUAAAAUAACAGUGUUGAUUAAUGCUGAGCCUGGGUACAGCACGAAAAGCACAUAGGAGAAGAUUAUGUUCUGUUUUCUUACAACUAACUUCUGUGUUCACUACCUGUGUUUUACUACCUAGUCAGAUGCUCAUCUCGCGAGAAGGGACGUUGACUCCCUCCCAUUGCGCAAUAACCCCGCCUCCGUGGCGCCUUUGUUGCAAAGCUGUGUGUAUAAAUACUUUGUUCUGAUACAUUUUUUUUGAACAGUGAUCUUGAAUAAACCAGACGUGAUUUGAUUCGUGUGGGUUGUUCUUUCAUUGUUCCGAGGCGCCUCUACAGUGUGGCAAAGAGAGAGCAUAAGGACCUGAGGGGAAAAUCUUCCUAACAAUCUGGUGACCCCGACGUGAUACUCUCGAUCAGUAACCAUUAGAGACCAUCCGUAGACCUUGUUCCUCCACAGACUGAGGGUAAAAUCUCGCCCUGGACACCAACGUCGAACCGCAGACACUCUGGUGUAGGCUUAUAGGACACAAACCACACUGCUAGAUGUGUCGGAAGAAGCUAGGUGGGGAACAACAACCUCUGCUGGACAAAGACACGGCCAGUGACCAGUAUGGCCGCCCCUACUAAUACUACUGUCCAUGCUUGGGACAGGGUUACCCGUCCAAGCACAUCCACACACAUAUUUGUAUUACUGAUACCUGCAUACCACAUAACGGUACCUCUAACUCGCAGAAGUGUUUGGGCUUUAGCUGCAACCCUGAGAGAACCACAAUAUAUGCGUUUGCAAGGGCUUUAGGAACCUGAUUAUACUUAAAUCAUUAAUUAUUAAGUAUAAAAGAGGGGUUUGUGAGAAUGUAUUUUAUAUGUGCUUGCUUGUGUCCUGAGAAUGAACUAAUUGUACCAAGAUUUAUGUUGCUAAAAUGUUACUCCACAGCUUGAUUAGGCAGGAGUAGUUGAAGGUCACCGAACAUGUUUCUGUUUUUCUACGUGUAUAUUCUGUUCCUCCUUACACAUACCUAUGUCUUAGUUGGCUUUAAAAUAACAGUGUUGAUUAAUGCUGAGCCUGGGUACAGCACGAAAAGCACAUAGGAGAAGAUUAUGUUCUGUUUUCUUACAACUAACUUCUGUGUUCACUACCUGUGUUUUACUACCUAGUCAGAUGCUCAUCUCGCGAGAAGGGACGUUGACUCCCUCCCAUUGCGCAAUAACCCCGCCUCCGUGGCGCCUUUGUUGCAAAGCUGUGUGUAUAAAUACUUUGUUCUGAUACAUUUUUUUUGAACAGUGAUCUUGAAUAAACCAGACGUGAUUUGA